rnacentral:rRNA from 1 species
GAUGAACGCUGGCGGCGUGCUUAACACAUGCAAGUCGAACGGUGAAGCUCCAGCUUGCUGGAGUGGAUCAGUGGCGAACGGGUGAGUAACACGUGAGCAACCUGCCCCUGACUCUGGGAUAACAGCCGGAAACGGCUGCUAAUACCGGAUAUGCACCAUGAACGCAUGUUCUGUGGUGGGAAAGAUUUUUCGGUUGGGGAUGGGCUCGCGGCCUAUCAGCUUGUUGGUGAGGUAAUGGCUCACCAAGGCGUCGACGGGUAGCCGGCCUGAGAGGGUGACCGGCCACACUGGGACUGAGACACGGCCCAGACUCCUACGGGAGGCAGCAGUGGGGAAUAUUGCACAAUGGGCGAAAGCCUGAUGCAGCAACGCCGCGUGGGGGAUGACGGCCUUCGGGUUGUAAACCUCUUUUAGCAGGGAAGAAGCGAGAGUGACGGUACCUGCAGAAAAAGCGCCGGCUAACUACGUG